rnacentral:rRNA from 1 species
AUGCAAGUCGAGGGGCAGCGAGAGGAAAGCUUGCUUCCUGUCGGCGACCGGCGCACGGGUGAGUAACGCGUAUCCAACCUUCCCCAUAGUAGAGGAUAGCCCGGCGAAAGUCGGAUUAAUACUCUAUGUUGUGUCAUGAGGACAUCUGAAUAACACCAAAGAUUUAUCGCUAUGGGAUGGGGAUGCGUCUGAUUAGCUUGUCGGCGGGGUAACGGCCCACCGAGGCGACGAUCAGUAGGGGUUCUGAGAGGAAGGUCCCCCACAUUGGUACUGAGACACGGACCAAACUCCUACGGGAGGCAGCAGUGAGGAAUAUUGGUCAAUGGACGAGAGUCUGAACCAGCCAAGUAGCGUGCAGGAUGACUGCCCUAUGGGUUGUAAACUGCUUUUAUGCGGGAAUAAAGUCAGGUACGUGUACCUGUUUGUAUGUACCGCAUGAAUAAGGACCGGCUAAUUCCGUGCCAGCAGCUGC